rnacentral:rRNA from 1 species
AACCUACCUAUCAUUGGAGGAUAGUCGCGGGAAACUGCGAAUAAUACUCCGUACGCUGUAGAUCUGGCAUCAGGUUUACAGGAAAGCUCCGGCGUUGAUAGAUGGGCAUGCGUGACAUUAGCUAGUUGGUGAGGUAAUGGCUCACCAAGGCAACGAUGUCUAGCUGGUCUGAGAGGAUGAUCAGCCACACGGGCACUGAGACACGGGCCCGACUCCUACGGGAGGCAGCAGUAAGGAAUAUUGGACAAUGGGGGCAACCCUGAUCCAGCCAUGCCGCGUGGUGGAAGACGGCCCUCCGGUUGUAAACACCUUUUAUAUGGGGAUAACGGAGUUCUAUACGAACUUUUGCAGGUACCAUAUGAAUAAGCACCGGCUAACUACGUGCCAGCAGCCGCGGUAAUACGUAGGGUGCAAGCGUUGUCCGGAUUUAUUGGGUUUAAAGGGUGCGCAGCGGUCUUUUAAGUUCGUGGUGAAAUCGUCCAGCUCAACUGGAUACCCGCCAUGGAUACUGGGAGACUAGAGUGUGUUCGAGGGAGUUAGAAUGCGUGGUGUAGCGGUGAAAUGCAUAGAUAUCACGCAGAAUACCGAUUGCGAAGCAGACUUCUGGGACAUAACUGACGCUGAGGCACGAAAGCGUGGGGAGCGAACAGGAUUAGAUACCCUGGUAGUCCACGCUGUAAACGAUGAUCACUAGGUGUUCGGCCUUCGGGCUGAGUGCCCAAGCGAAAGAUAAGUGAUCCACCUGGGGAGUACGUUCGCAAGAAUGAAACUCAAAGGAAUUGACGGGGGCCGCACAAGCGUGGAGCAUGUGGUUUAAUUCGAUGAUACGCGAGGA